rnacentral:rRNA from 1 species
CCUACGGGAGGCAGCAGUGGGGAAUCUUGCGCAAUGGGCGAAAGCCUGACGCAGCCAUGCCGCGUGAAUGAUGAAGGUCUUAGGAUUGUAAAAUUCUUUCACCGGGGACGAUAAUGACGGUACCCGGAGAAGAAGCCCCGGCUAACUUCGUGCCAGCAGCCGCGGUAAUACGAAGGGGGCUAGCGUUGCUCGGAAUUACUGGGCGUAAAGGGAGCGUAGGCGGAUAGUUUAGUCAGAGGUGAAAGCCCAGGGCUCAACCUUGGAAUUGCCUUUGAUACUGGCUAUCUUGAGUACGGAAGAGGUAUGUGGAACUCCGAGUGUAGAGGUGAAAUUCGUAGAUAUUCGGAAGAACACCAGUGGCGAAGGCGACAUACUGGUCCGUUACUGACGCUGAGGCUCGAAAGCGUGGGGAGCAAACAGGAUUAGAUACCCUGGUAGUCCACGCUGUAAACGAUGAGUGCUAGUUGUCGGCAUGCAUGCAUGUCGGUGACGCAGACUACGACAUAAGUACACUCCGCCGUCGGGGAGGUACGGUCGGCGAAGAAGUUAAACUUAACGUUAAAGGAAAGUUAGUUACGGCGUGAGACGUUGCCGACGGACGACGACGAGGGGAGGAGG